rfam:Candida auris strain 6684 Scaffold28, whole genome shotgun sequence.
GUGAUAAUAAGUUAAUUGGCAAACUUUAACACUUCCAAUGUUAGAUUGCGUGUUCGAUUCACGCUUAUCACA